rnacentral:rRNA from 1 species
CGCGUAUGCAAUCUGCCUUUCACAAAGGGAUAGCCCAGAGAAAUUUGGAUUAAUACCUUAUAGUAUAUAGAUGUGGCAUCACAAUUAUAUUAAAGAUUUAUCGGUGAAAGAUGAGCAUGCGUCCCAUUAGCUAGUUGGUAAGGUAACGGCUUACCAAGGCAACGAUGGGUAGGGGUCCUGAGAGGGAGAUCCCCCACACUGGUACUGAGACACGGACCAG